rnacentral:rRNA from 1 species
UACGUAGGGGGCAAGCGUUGUCCGGAUUUAUUGGGCGUAAAGAGCGUGUAGGCGGCCAUACAGGUCAGCUGUGAAAACUCGAGGCUCAACCUCGAGACGUCGGUUGAAACCGUAUGGCUAGAGUCCGGAAGAGGAGAGUGGAAUUCCCGGUGUAGCGGUGAAAUGCGCAGAUAUCGGGAGGAACACCAGUGGCGAAGGCGGCAUCCUGGCCAUGUCCUGACGCUCAGGGGCGAAAGCGUGGGGAGCAAACCGG